rnacentral:rRNA from 1 species
CGGCACGGGUGAGUAACACGUAUCCAACCUGCCGUCUACUCUUGGACAGCCUUCUGAAAGGAAGAUUAAUACAAGAUGGCAUCAUGAGUUCACAUGUUCACAUGAUUAAAGGUAUUCCGGUAGACGAUGGGGAUGCGUUCCAUUAGAUAGUAGGCGGGGUAACGGCCCACCUAGUCUUCGAUGGAUAGGGGUUCUGAGAGGAAGGUCCCCCACAUUGGAACUGAGCACGGUCCAA